rnacentral:rRNA from 1 species
AUGGCCUCAUCCGCCGCCACCUCCUCCCCUCUCUCCGGCCAGAUCACCGAGCGCCUUACCCGCACCAACUAUGUUCUUUGGCGCACUCAGAUCACGCCGCAGCUGAGAGGAGCUGGAGUCUUCGGGUACGUCGACGGAAGCACGGCGGAGCCGGCCGAGUUCGUCGUCGGCAAGGACAAGGAUGGAAAGGAGGCAACCAUCCCCAACCCACUCCAU